rnacentral:rRNA from 1 species
UAGGGAAUAUUGCUUAAUGGGCGAAAGCCUGAAGCAGCAACGCCGCGUGCACGAUGAAGGUCUUCGGAUCGUAAAGUGCUUUUUUAGAGGAUGAGGAAGGACAGUACUCUAAGAAUAAGCCUCGGCUAACUACGUGCCAGCAGCCGCGGUAAGACGUAGGAGGCGAGCGUUAUCCGGAUUUACUGGGCGUAAAGCGUGUGCAGGUGGUUUGGUAAGUUGGAUGUGAAAGCUCCUGGCUUAACUGGGAGAGGUCGUUCAAUACUGCCAGACUUGAGAGUGAGAGAGGGAGGUGGAAUUCCGGGUGUAGUGGUGAAAUGCGUAGAUAUCCGGAGGAACACCAGUGGCGAAAGCGGCCUCCUGGCUCAUUUCUGACACUCAUACACGAAAGCUAGGGUAGCAAACGG